rnacentral:rRNA from 1 species
UGGGGAAUAUUGCACAAUGGAGGGAACUCUGAUGCAGCGACGCCGCGUGAGUGAUGAAGGCAUUCGUUUCGUAAAACUCUUUUUUAUGGGGAGAAAAGGACUGUACCAUAGGAGAAAGCUCCGGCUAAAUACGUGCCAGCAGCCGCGGUAAUACGUAUGGAGCGAGCGGUGUCCGGAAUUAUUGGGCGUAAAGGGUGCGCAGGCGGCUUUACAAGUUGGUUGUGAAAUAUUGUGGCUCAACCACAAACGUGCAUCCAAAACUGCAAAGCUUGAGUUAAGGAGUGGUAAGUGGAAUUCAUGGUGUAGCGGUGUAAUGCGUAGAUAUCUGGAGGAAUACCGGUGGCGAAGGCUACUUACUGGUCUUAAACUGACGCUCAGGCACGAAAGCGUGGGGAGCAAACAGG